rnacentral:rRNA from 1 species
GGUUGAUCCUGCCAGUAGUCAUAUGCUUGUGUUAAAGAUUAAGCCAUGCAUGCCUUAGUAUAGGUAGAAACGACCGAAACUGCGGAUGGCUCAUUAAAUCAGUCACAAUCAAUUUGGUGAUGAAAGUAGAAGGAUAACCCUGUUAAUUGUAGAGCUAAUACAUGAAUAAGAUGUUUGAUCUUGAUACAUUGAAGAAUCAACCCUUUGGUGUAAAGAGAAAGAACAGCUAAUGUCAGCUCGGCCAUAUGCAAAUGUGGUGACGUAGUUUUGAAAGCGAAUUCUCGGAAGCCAA